UUUUUUUUAAUUAAUGAUGAAUCUUUUUAAAUAAAAUGUAUGAAUUACGAAAGUUGACAUAUGUUGCUAUGAUUUUACCACGAGUA
rnacentral:ribozyme from 16 species